UCAUAGCCCUGAUGGAAGUGGCAUCCUUUUUUUAUCUAAAAUUUUUCUAAUUAUAAAAUUUUUCAAUAAAAAAAGAUACAGCGGACAGCAGGAAUCAGC
rnacentral:sRNA from 1 species